GGUUCAGUAGUGUAGAGGUUAUCACCCGGGAUUCUGAUUUCCUGACUUCCCGUAACCCAGGUUCGAGUCCUGGUUGGACCU